rnacentral:rRNA from 1 species
CCCUUAGAUGUUCUGGGCCGCACGCGCGCUACACUGAUGCAUUCAACGAGUCUAAAACCUGGUCUGAUAGGGCUGGGUAAUCUUUUGAAUGUGCAUCGUGAUUGGGAUAGAUGAUUGCAAUUCUUCAUCUUCAACGAGGAAUGCCUAGUAAACGCAAGUCAUCAGCUUGCAUUGAUUACGUCCCUGUCCUUUGUACACACCGCCCGUCGCUCCUACCGAUUGAAUGUUCCGAUGAAUACCAUGGACUGAGAGUAUGAAUGGGUUCGCCUAUUUCUGCUUCUCGGGAAGUGGAGUAAAUCUUAACAUUUAGAGGAAGGAGAAGUCGUAACA